rnacentral:rRNA from 1 species
AUACAUGCAGUCGAGCGAACAGACGAGGAGCUUGCUCCUCUGACGUUAGCGGCGGACGGGUGAGUAACACGUGGAUAACCUACCUAUAAGACUGGGAUAACUUCGGGAAACCGGAGCUAAUACCGGAUAAUAUAUUGAACCGCAUGGUUCAAUAGUGAAAGACGGUUUUGCUGUCACUUAUAGAUGGAUCCGCGCCGCAUUAGCUAGUUGGUAAGGUAACGGCUUACCAAGGCAACGAUGCGUAGCCGACCUGAGAGGGUGAUCGGCCACACUGGAACUGAGACACGGUCCAGACUCCUACGGGAGGCAGCAGUAGGGAAUCUUCCGCAAUGGGCGAAAGCCUGACGGAGCAACGCCGCGUGAGUGAUGAAGGUCUUCGGAUCGUAAAACUCUGUUAUUAGGGAAGAACAAAUGUGUAAGUAACUAUGCACGUCUUGACGGUACCUAAUCAGAAAGCCACGGCUAACUACGUGCCAGCAGCCGCGGUAAUACGUAGGUGGCAAGCGUUAUCCGGAAUUAUUGGGCGUAAAGCGCGCGUAGGCGGUUUUUUAAGUCUGAUGUGAAAGCCCACGGCUCAACCGUGGAGGGUCAUUGGAAACUGGAAAACUUGAGUGCAGAAGAGGAAAGUGGAAUUCCAUGUGUAGCGGUGAAAUGCGCAGAGAUAUGGAGGAACACCAGUGGCGAAGGCGACUUUCUGGUCUGUAACUGACGCUGAUGUGCGAAAGCGUGGGGAUCAAACAGGAUUAGAUACCCUGGUAGUCCACGCCGUAACGAUGAGUGCUAAGUGUUAGGGGGUUCCGCCCCUUAGUGCUGCAGCUAACGCAUUAAGCACUCCGCCUGGGAGUACGACCGCAAGGUUGAAACUCAAAGGAAUUGACGGGACCCGCACAAGCGGUGGAGCAUGUGGUUUAAUUCGAAGCAACGCGAAGAACCUUACCAAAUCUUGACAUCCUCUGACCCCUCUAGAGAUAGAGUUUUCCCCUUCGGGGGACAGAGUGACAGGUGGUGCAUGGUUGUCGUCAGCUCGUGUCGUGAGAUGUUGGGGUAAGUCCCGCAACGAGCGCA